GAUGAAGAACGCAGUGAAACGCGAUAUGUAAUGUGAAUUGCAGAAUUCAGUGAAUCAUCGAAUCAUUGAACGCACAUGGCGCCUUCCAGUAUCCUGGGAGGCAUGCCUGUCCGAGCGUCGUUUCAACCCUCGAGCCCCCGUGGCCCGGCGUUGGGGAUCUGCCCAGGCAGUCCCCGAAAACCAGUGGCGGACCCGUUACAGGCCCUUCCCUUGCGUAGUAGCAUUCGCCUCGCAUCGGGAGCCGGCGGGCUUCCAGCCUCUAAACCCCCAUCAAGUCCGCCCCGGCGGCACCAAGGUUGACCUCGGAUCAGGUAGGAAUACCCGCUGAACUUAAGCAUAUCAAUAAGCGGAGGA
rnacentral:misc_RNA from 1 species